AUUGAACGCUGGCGGCAUGCUUUACACAUGCAAGUCGAACGGUAGAGGGGGCAACCCCUUGAGAGUGGCGAACGGGUGAGUAAUGCAUCGGAACGUGCCCAGUCGUGGGGGAUAACGCAGCGAAAGCUGUGCUAAUACCGCAUACGAUCUCUGGAUGAAAGCGGGGGACCGAAAGGCCUCGCGCGAUUGGAGCGGCCGAUGUCAGAUUAGGUAGUUGGUGGGGUAAAGGCUUACCAAGCCGACGAUCUGUAGCUGGUCUGAGAGGACGACCAGCCACACUGGGACUGAGACACGGCCCAGACUGCGACGGGAGGCAGCAGUGGGGAAUUUUGGACAAUGGGCGAAAGCCUGAUCCAGCCAUGCCGCGUGCAGGAUGAAGGCCUUCGGGUUGUAAACUGCUUUUGUACGGAACGAAACGGUCUGGGUUAAUACCCUGGGCUAAUGACGGUACCGUAAGAAUAAGCACCGGCUAACUACGUGCCAGCCGCCGCAGUAA
rnacentral:rRNA from 1 species